GAAACACACACGAAUCGAAGACACAGAUUUUUCCAUAAUCGCAAUCUUCAUUAGUCUUACAGGCACGCUGUUCUGACUCUAGAAGCACUUCCUCUGCAAAUAAAAGAGAGUUUAAGACACAAGAUGAAGAUUGUUUUUGUGGUGAUCGCUGUUCUCUUCAUAAUUGCUGGGGCACAAAUGGAUUCCGACAAUGAAAUGACAUUUGACGACUCUGAUGAAAGUUCGUUUGAAAGUCAAUUUGAUUAUUCCGAUGGAGACUCUUCAGUAGACGAAUUUUACGAUGGCGGAUAAGGCAAGAAUGUUAAUUAAACGUAGCGCAGAUGUAAAUAGGAGACCAGACAAGGAUCUUGGGACACACCUGAGUAGCAAAAAUCUCAGGCUUGCAACCAAAAUUUGUUAUAAAUCGGUUUCAAUUCAGUUAUUCGCAACAAAAUAUGUUAUAGAACAGUUGCAAUGUGUCUUUUUAGGUAACAAGAAAUCCGCUUUGUUAUAUAUAAGUUAUAGAAAAGUUAUUUUUAAGUUGCAGAAAAGGAGAAAUAUUUUAACAAAUUUACCAACUAGUUGCCAGAUAACUCAUAAUCUCAAAACUUUAUUGUAACGUUGCUGCAACUACGAUUUGGUUACAUACGUAACCAUGAUACGUCAGUGCAUUUCACCUUGUCAAACAUUCAUACAUUUGGUCCAAGAAUGCCAUUCCUGUUGAAGAAUUUGCCAAGCUAAUGAGUUUCGAAAACGUCGAGAACGUUAAACGUGGUAGAUUUCAUCCAAUCCAAAACGAAUCAUUACAAUAAAAACAGAGAAAUCACAAAAAAAUCAACUUGUGUUGAAACUACUUCAUUACUAUCUUUCUUUUUACAAUAACGUAAUUCAAGUUAUAAUUAAGUUACAUUCAUGUUAUA